GACUUUUAGCGGUGGAUCACUCGGCAAGUGCAUUGAUGAACGCAGCUAGCUGCGAGAAUUAAUGUGAAUUGCUGGACACAUUGAUCAUCGACACUUUGAACGCAUUUGCGGCCCCGGGUUCCUCCAGGGGCUACGCCUGUCUGAGCGUCG
rnacentral:rRNA from 1 species